CUUGUCAACUUUACUAAACACCUGAAAAUAACUAACAAAUCCCAUCAACCUCUCUUCCCUCUAAAACUGCAGAAUUCCACCUCAGCCUUCGCCAAAAAGCUUCCCAUCACCUCAAUACCACUCAUGUUUUUGACUUACUUCGUGGGUCCGGAAGACAGUGGUGAAAGCAUUUAGCUCCAUCCAACGCAAAAGCAACUCUUCACUUCUUUUGUACUUGAAAAAAGAGACAUGCAUUACCUGCAACCAAAAUGCUGAAAUGGGAACAUCAUAAGUCCUUAGUUUCUCCCAAAUAUGGCGUACGGUUUCCGUG